UACAGAGGUCUCGAGCGUUAGGCGGAAUCACUGGGCUUAAAGCGUGUGUAGGUGGAUGCCUAAGUACCUUGUGAAAUCCCACAGCUUAACUGUGGAACUGCUUGGUAUACUGGGUGUCUUGAGUCACUCAGGGGCGAGCGGAACAAAUGGUGGAGCGGUGAAAUGCGUAGAUAUCAUUUGGAACGCCAAUGGUGAAAACAGCUCGCUGGGGGUGUACUGACACGUGAGAACACGAAAGCCAGGGGAGCGAACGGG
rnacentral:rRNA from 1 species